rnacentral:rRNA from 1 species
AAAUUGAAGAGUUUGAUCAUGGCUCAGAUUGAACGCUGGCGGCAGGCCUAACACAUGCAAGUCGAACGGUAACAGGAAGCAGCUUGCUGCUUUGCUGACGAGUGGCGGACGGGUGAGUAAUGUCUGGGAAACUGCCUGAUGGAGGGGGAUAACUACUGGAAACGGUGGCUAAUACCGCAUAACGUCGCAAGACCAAAGAGGGGGACCUUCGGGCCUCUUGCCAUCAGAUGUGCCCAGAUGGGAUUAGCUUGUUGGUGAGGUAACGGCUCACCAAGGCGACGAUCCCUAGCUGGUCUGAGAGGAUGACCAGCCACACUGGAACUGAGACACGGUUCAGACUCCUACGGGAGGCAGCAGUGGGGAAUAUUGCACAAUGGGCGCAAGCCUGAUGCAGCCAUGCCGCGUGUAUGAAGAAGGCCUUCGGGUUGUAAAGUACUUUCAGCGGGGAGGAAGGUGUU